rnacentral:rRNA from 1 species
CCUACGGGGGGCUGCAGUGGGGAAUAUUGGACAAUGGGCGCAAGCCUGAUCCAGCAAUGCCGCGUGGGUGAAGACGGCCUGCGGGUUGUAAAGCCCUUUAGGCGGGGAGGAACGGUCGGGUGCCAAUACCACCCGGCGCUGACGUUACCCGCAGAAUAAGCACCGGCUAACUCCGUGCCAGCAGCCGCGGUAAUACGGAGGGUGCGAGCGUUAAUCGGAAUUACUGGGCGUAAAGCGUGCGUAGGCGGUAGCGUCAGUCAGCCGUGAAAGCCCCGGGCUUAACCUGGGAACGGCGGUUGAGACGGCGCAACUAGAGUGGGCUAGAGGAUCGUGGAAUUCCGGGUGUAGCGGUGAAAUGCGUAGAGAUCCGGAGGAACACCGAUGGCGAAGGCAGCGGUCUGGGGCCACACUGACGCUGAGGCACGACAGCGUGGGGAGCAAACAGGAUUAGAUACCCCAGUAGUC